AUUGAACGCUGGCGGCAUGCCCUACACAUGCAAGUCGAACGGCAGCACGGGGCAACCUGGUGGCGAGUGGCGAACGGGUGAGUAAUGCAUCGGAACGUACCUUUCAGUGGGGGAUAACGUAGCGAAAGUUACGCUAAUACCGCAUAUUCUGUGAGCAGGAAAGCAGGGGAUCGCAAGACCUUGCGAUGAUUGGGCGGCCGAUGUCAGAUUAGCUAGUUGGUGAGGUAAAGGCUCACCAAGGCGGCGAUCUGUAGCGGGUCUGAGAGGAUGAUCCGCCACACUGGAACUGAGACACGGUCCAGACUCCUACGGGAGGCAGCAGUGGGGAAUUUUGGACAAUGGGGGCAACCCUGAUCCAGCCAUGCCGCGUGAGUGAAGAAGGCCUUCGGGUUGUAAAGCUCUUUCGGCCGGGAAGAAAUCGCACGGGCUAAUACCCUGUGUGGAUGACGGUACCGGAAUAAGAAGCACCGGCUAACUACGUGCCAGCAGCCGCAGUAAAAC
rnacentral:rRNA from 1 species